UACUGCAGCCGCGGUGUUGUGCUGUGGGGAAGGGAGAUGGAUUUGUAAACCCCGGAGCGAGGUUCUGCCUACCCGAGGCCGCUGCUGUGCGGAGACCCCCGGGUGAAGCCACCGUCAUCAUGUCUGACCAGGAGGCAAAACCUUCAACUGAGGACUUGGGGGAUAAGAAGGAAGGUGAAUAUAUUAAACUCAAAGUCAUUGCACAGGAUAGCAGUGAGAUUCACUUCAAAGUGAAAAUGACAACACAUCUCAAGAAACUCAAAAAAUCAUACUGUCAAAGACAGGGCGUUCCAAUGAAUUCACUCAGGUUUCUCUUUGAGGGUCAGAGAAUUGCUGAUAAUCAUACUCCAAAAGAACUGGGAAUGGAGGAAGAAGAUGUGAUUGAAGUUUAUCAGGAACAAACGGGGGGUCAUUCAACAGUUUAGAUAUUCUUUUUAUUUUUUUUCUUUUCCCUCAAUCCUUUUUUAUUUUUAAAAAUAGUUCUUUUGUAAUGUGGUGUUCAAAACGGAAUUGAAAACUGGCACCCCAUCUCUUUGAAACAUCUGGUAAUUUGAAUUCUAGUGCUCAUUAUUCAUUAUUGUUUGUUUUCAUUGUGCUGAUUUUUGGUGAUCAAGCCUCAGUCCCCUUCAUAUUACCCUCUCCUUUUUAAAAAUUAUGUGUGCACAGAGAGGCCACCUUUUUCAGGACAUUGCAUUUUCAGGCUUGUGGUGAUAAAUAAGAUCGACCAAUGCAAGUGUUCAUAAUGACUUUCCAAUUGGCCCUGAUGUUCUAGCAUGUGAUUGCUUCACUCCUGGACUGUGACUUUCAGUGGGAGAUGGAAGUUUUUCAGAGAACUGAAGUGUGGAAAAAUGACCUUUCCUUAACUUGAAGCUACUUUUAAAAUUUGAGGGUCUGGACCAAAAGAAGAGGAAUAUCAGGUUGAAGUCAAGAUGACAGAUAAGGUGAGAGUAAUGACUAACUCCAAAGAUGGCUUCACUGAAGAAAAGGCAUUUUAAGAUUUUUUAAAAAUCUUGUCAGAAGAUCCCAGAAAAGUUCUAAUUUUCAUUAGCAAUUAAUAAAGCUAUAUAUGCAGAAAUGAAUACAACAGAACACUGCUCUUUUUGAUUUUAUUUGUACUUUUUGGCCUGGGAUAUGGGUUUUAAAUGGACAUUGUCUGUACCAGCUUCAUUAAAAUAAACAAUAUUUGUAAAAAUC